rnacentral:rRNA from 1 species
AGCAGCCGCGGUAAUUCCAGCUCCAAUAGCGUAUAUUAAAGUUGUUGCAGUUAAAAAGCUCGUAGUUGAAUUUCGGGGCCAGUAGGUUGGUCGUGCCACUGGUAUGCACUGGCCUUACUGGUCCCUCCUUCUUGUAGAACCGUGAUGCCAUUAAUUUGGUGUUGCGGGGAAACAGGACUGUUACUUUGAAAAAUUAGAGUGCUUAAAGCAGGCUCGCGCUUGAAUACAUUAGCAUGGAAUAACGGAAUAGGACGAUCGAACCUAUUUUGUUGGUUUCUAGGAUCGACGUAAUGAUUAAUAGGGAUAGUUGGGGGCAUUAGUAUUCAAUUGUCAGAGGUGAAAUUCUUGGAUUUAUUGAAGACUAACUACUGCGAAAGCAUUUGCCAAGGAUGUUUUCAUUAAUCAAGAACGAAAGUUAGGGGAUCGAAGACGAUCAGAUACCGUCGUAGUCUUAACCAUAAACUAUGCC